UACGUAGGGUGCAAGCGUUGUCCGGAAUUAUUGGGCGUAAAGAGCUCGUAGGCGGUCUGUUGCGUCGGCUGUGAAAACCCGGGGCUCAACCCCGGGCCUGCAGCCGAUACGGGCAGACUAGAGUUCGGCAGGGGGAGACUGGAAUUCCUGGUGUAGCGGUGAAAUGCGCAGAUAUCAGGAGGAACACCGGUGGCGAAGGCGGGUCUCUGGGCCGAUACUGACGCUGAGGAGCGAAAGCGUGGGGGAGCGAACAGG
rnacentral:rRNA from 1 species